rnacentral:rRNA from 1 species
AUGGAAGCUUUAGGACGGGGAAAGUUGCAACUGCCAAGUGGCAAAAUACAGCAUAGAAGGAAUGAAAUCCAAAAUUGGAAUCGGCCCAGCGUGCCCAAGUUCGGCACCUGGGACAGCGACAAUGUCGGCUACACGGUCUACUUCAAUAAGGUGCGCGAGAACAAGGGCGCCACUGCGCCGCCGCUCCAGCGGCCGUUCAACCCCAACGACCCGGAGGAGGAAGCCCCGAGGGUGAUCGCCCCGGGCUCCAGGCCGGCCACCUCCAGCGGCGACCGCGCGGCGCCGCAGCAGAACGGGCACCAGCACCGCCGGGCCGGUAGCAACAGCGCCGAGAAGAGCAAGUUCGCGCCGCCGCCGCAGUACCACCCGCGGCCACAGUUCACCCACCACCAGCCUCCGGCCGGACACGGCGGCGACAACGGCAACCACCGCCCUUCGUCCGGGCACGGCAGCGACCACGGCCAGCACCACCACCGCCCGGCCGGGCACGGCAGUGACCACGGCCACCACCACCACCGGCCGGUCGGGCACGGCGCGCACCACAAGCCGCAUGAGGCGAGGUACAAGCCGGCGGGGGCCCGGGCGCGGUCCGCCUCGCCGAACCACGCGCCGGGGCGGCAGAGGCCGACGGCGGUGCCCAAGUUCGGGGCGUGGGACGAGCAGAGUGCGGGGGCGCAGGGGUACACGGUGAUGUUCGACCGGGUGAAGCAUGACCGGGAGGCGGCCCGCCGCGGCGGGGUGCCGAACCUCCCUCGCCGCCGCAUGCCGUCGCCGGAGAGCUACACGGCCGCGAGGCGGCCCCGGCACACCCCCUUCUACUCCAAGAUGUUCGGGUGCUUGAUCCCUCACACCAAGGACUGA